rnacentral:rRNA from 1 species
CCUACGGGUGGCAGCAGUGAGGAAUAUUGGUCAAUGGUCGGGAGCCUGAACCAGUCAAGCCGCGUGAGGGAUGAAGGUACAGAGUAUCGUACACCUCUUUUGUCAGGGAACAAAGGCGGGGCCGCGUCCCCGGAUGAGUGUACCUGAAGAAAAAGCAUCGGCUAACUCCGUGCCAGCAGCCGCGGUAAUACGGAGGAUGCGAGCGUUAUCCGGAUUUAUUGGGUUUAAAGGGUGUGCAGGCGGUCCGUUAAGUCAGCGGUCAAAGCGCGGGGGUCAAACCCGGUCCCGCCGUUGAUACUGGCAGUCUCGAGUUGGAGAGAGGUAUGCGGAAUGCGCGGUGGAGCGGUGAAAUGCAUAGAUAUCGCGCAGAACUCCGAUUGCGAAGGCAGCAUGCCGGCUCCACACUGACGCUGAGGCACGAAAGCGUGGGUAUCGAACAGGAUUAGAUACCCCUGUAGUC